AUUGAACGCUGGCGGCAGGCCUAACACAUGCAAGUCGAGCGGUAGAGAGAAGCUUGCUUCUCUUGAGAGCGGCGGACGGGUGAGUAAUGCCUAGGAAUCUGCCUGGUAGUGGGGGAUAACGUUCGGAAACGGACGCUAAUACCGCAUACGUCCUACGGGAGAAAGCAGGGGACCUUCGGGCCUUGCGCUAUCAGAUGAGCCUAGGUCGGAUUAGCUAGUUGGUGAGGUAAUGGCUCACCAAGGCGACGAUCCGUAACUGGUCUGAGAGGAUGAUCAGUCACACUGGAACUGAGACACGGUCCAGACUCCUACGGGAGGCAGCAGUGGGGAAUAUUGGACAAUGGGCGAAAGCCUGAUCCAGCCAUGCCGCGUGUGUGAAGAAGGUCUUCGGAUUGUAAAGCACUUUAAGUUGGGAGGAAGGGCAGUUACCUAAUACGUGAUUGUUUGACGUUACCGACAGAAUAAGCACCGGCUAACUCUGUGCCAGCAGCCGACGG
rnacentral:rRNA from 1 species